rnacentral:rRNA from 1 species
UACGGAGGGUGCAAGCGUUAUCCGGAUUCACUGGGUUUAAAGGGUGCGUAGGUGGGCAGGUAAGUCCGUGGUGAAAUCUCCGAGCUUAACUCGGAAACUGCCGUUGAUACUAUUUGUCUUGAAUAUUGUGGAGGUAAGCGGAAUAUGUCAUGUAGCGGUGAAAUGCUUAGAUAUGACAUAGAACACCAAUUGCGAAGGCAGCUUACUACACAACGAUUGACGCUGAGGCACGAAAGCGUGGGGAUCAAACAGG